rnacentral:rRNA from 1 species
CCUACGGGCGGCUGCAGUGGGGAAUAUUGGACAAUGGGGGGAACCCUGAUCCAGCCAUGCCGCGUGUGUGAAGAAGGCCCUCGGGUUGUAAAGCACUUUCAGUGAGGAAGAACGCCUGGUGGUUAAUACCCAUCAGGAAAGACAUCACUCACAGAAGAAGCACCGGCUAACUCCGUGCCAGCAGCCGCGGUAAUACGGAGGGUGCGAGCGUUAAUCGGAAUUACUGGGCGUAAAGCGCGCGUAGGUGGCUUGAUAAGCCGGUUGAGAAAGCCCCGGGCUCAACCUGGGAACGGCAUCCGGAACUGUCAAGCUAGAGUGCAGGAGAGGAAGGUAGAAUUCCCGGUGUAGCGGUGAAAUGCGUAGAGAUCGGGAGGAAUACCAGUGGCGAAGGCGGCCUUCUGGACUGACACUGACACUGAGGUGCGAAAGCGUGGGUAGCAAACAGGAUUAGAUACCCGGGUAGUC